rnacentral:rRNA from 1 species
CCUACGGGAGGCAGCAGUGAGGAAUAUUGGUCAAUGGGCGCGAGCCUGAACCAGCCAAGUAGCGUGAAGGAUGACUGCCCUACGGGUUGUAAACCUCUUUUGCCGGGGAGCAACGGGCGCCACGUGUGGCGUCACUGAGAGAACCCGGAGAAAAAGAACAGGCGAACUCGGUGCCAGCAGCCGCGGUAAUACGGAGGAUGCGAGCGUUAUCCGGAUUGAUGGGGUUGAAAGGGUGCGUAGGCGGAUCGUUAAGUCAGUGGUCUAAUUGCGGGGCGCAACCCCUUCCCGCCAUUGAAACUGGCGUUCUUGAGUGGACGAGAAGUAUGCGGAAUGCGUGGUGUAGCGGU